GAAGCUGCGGCAGCGACGCUGAUGCGUUGUUGGGUAGGGGAGCGUUCUGUAAGCCUGUGAAGGUGGCCUGUGAGGGUUGCUGGAGGUAUCAGAAGUGCGAAUGCUGACAUAAGUAACGAUAAAGCGGGUGAAAAGCCCGCUCGCCGGAAGACCAAGGGUUCCUGUCCAACGUUAAUCGGGGCAGGGUGAGUCGACCCCUAAGGCGAGGCCGAAAGGCGUAGUCGAUGGGAAACGGGUUAAUAUUCCCGUACUUGGUGUUACUGCGAAGGGGGGACGGAGAAGGCUAUGUUGGCCGGGCGACGGUUGUCCCGGUUUAAGCGUGUAGGCUGGUUUUCCAGGCAAAUCCGGAAAAUCAAGGCUGAGGCGUGACGACGAGGCACUACGGUGCUG
rnacentral:rRNA from 1 species